AUGGCGAUCAAGAAGCCGUCCAAGACCGACAAGAAGCACGCGUACGACCAGAAGUUGUGCCAGCUCCUCGACGAGUACUCGAGGGUGCUCGUCGCGUCGGCGGACAACGUCGGCUCCAGCUCGGUCAUGCUCAUGGGGAAGAACACCCUCAUCUGCCGCUGCAUCGCGGCGCACGCCGAGAGGUCGGGCAACGCCGACGUCAAGGCCCUCAUACCCCUCCUCCAAGGAAACGUCGGUCUCAUCUUCACCAAGGGUGACCUCAAGGAGGUGCGCGAGGAGGUCGCCAAGUACAAGGUUGGGGCCCCUGCUCGUGUUGGCCUGAUUGCUCCUAUUGAUGUGGUGGUUCCCCCUGGAAACACUGUCUCACCCCGAUCUGAUGUCCUUUUUCCAUUCAUUCAGGUGCUUAACAUCCCCACCAAGAUUAAAAAGGGCAGCGUGGAGAUCGUCGCCCAUGUGGACCUCAUCAAGAAGGGUGACAAGGUGGGCUCAUCCGAGGCUGCCCUGCUUGCCAAGCUCGGCAUCCGCCCAUUCUCCUAUGGUCUUGUGAUCACCAAUGUCUACGACGAUGGGUCGGUGUUCAGCCCCGAGGUUCUUGACCUCCCUGAGGAAGACCUCAUGGAGAAGUUUGCGUGUGGUGUCUCCAUGGUUGCCUCGCUGUCCCUGGCAGUCUCGUACCCAACUUUGGCUGCUGCACUGCACAUGUUCCUCAAUGGGUACAAGAACGUGCUUGCUCUCGCUGUGGAGACAGAUUACUCGUUCCCCCAUGCUGAUCAGAUCAAGGAGUACCUCAAGGACCCUAGCAAGUUUGCUGUUGCUGCCGCGCUGUCUGGUGGUGGUGCUGCUGCGGCUGGAGCUGCUACUGCGGAGGAGAAGAAAGAAGAGGAAUCCGAUAGUGGAUCUGACGCUGAGGAGGGAUUCAUGAACCUGUUCGACGACUGA
rnacentral:rRNA from 1 species